UGUACAACUCUGAGCGGCGUAUCACACGGCUCGCAC
rnacentral:rRNA from 1 species